UACGUAGGGUGCAAGCGUUGUCCGGAAUUAUUGGGCGUAAAGAGCUCGUAGGCGGUCUGUCGCGUCUGCUGUGAAAACUCGGGGCUUAACCCCGGGCCUGCAGUGGGUACGGGCAGACUAGAGUGCGGUAGGGGAGACUGGAAUUCCUGGUGUAGCGGUGAAAUGCGUAGAUAUCAGGAGGAACACCGGUGGCGAAGGCGGCUCUCUGGUCCACAACUGACGCUGAGGUGCGAAAGCUAGGGGAGCAAACGGG
rnacentral:rRNA from 1 species